AGCCGAGCAAACGUGGGGUUUACAGAGUGACUGGGGAUGAAGGUGAGCAGGAGAGAAGGGCACAUUCGAAUUGUCACUCGAUAUGGAUGCAGCCCGGAGAGGGCCCAACAGACAGGGCCGGGCAGAGGAAGACCUGGGAGCUCCCUGAGUCAAUGUCACCCAUCUGGGCCAGACCUUCAGGCGGGAGAGGCCACUGUGGAGGUGGUCGGUCGGUGCUCCCGGUCGCGCUGUGGCUCAUCACGGUGAGCCUGACUCAGACCACAGCCUGGGAGCACCUGGCCUGGCCUCUGGGGACUUUGGAGUUCCUUCCCCCCACCUGCCUUCAGCGACAUGGAAAUCGGGUGCAGGCCGCCCAGCUUCUCAUCUGACCUCUCUCUAAAUAAGCAAAGAAGAGCCUUUUCGUCACAGUUGAUGCGCACACCUGUCAUGGUGACAGGUACAUCUCAUGGGUCGUAACUGCCUUAUUGCGAAAACCAGCAGGAGAUGGACCAGGUUGUUCACCGUUUCUGGCUACACCAAGGAGGGAGAUCUGAGUUCUAGUUUCCAUCUCUUCCUGCAUCAGUCUCUGUGACCUUGCCCAAUUCCCGCCACCUCUCUGCAAAGCGAGGAGACAGCCCUAAGAUCCUUAACAUCUCUUUCAGCUUUGACAUGCUGUGAUUUUUUUUUGUAACUGGGUAAC